rnacentral:rRNA from 1 species
AUUGAACGCUGGCGGCAGGCCUAACACAUGCAAGUCGAACGAGUGGCGGACGGGUGAGUAAUGUCUGGGAAACUGCCCGAUGGAGGGGGAUAACUACUGGAAACGGUAGCUAAUACCGCAUACCAUCAGAUGUGCCCAUAUGGGAUUAGCUAGUAGGUGGGGUAACGGCUCACCUAGGCGACGAUCCCUAGCUGGUCUGAGAGGAUGACCAGCCAGCCUGGGACUGAGACACGGCCCCGCCUCAUACGGGAGGCAGCAGUGGGGAAUAUUGCACACUGGGCGCAAGCCUGCUGCAGCCAUGCGGGGUGUAUGAAGAAGGCCUUCGUGUUGUAAAGUACUUUCAGUCGGGAGGCGUUACCGACAGAAGAAGCACCGGCUAACUCCGUGCCAGCAGCCGCGGUAAUUC